GGAUUAGAUACCCUGGUAGUCCACGCCGUAAACGAUGCGUACUAGGUCGGAGAGGUUCUCAUGCCCUUCCGGCCGUAGCGAAAGUGUUAAGUACGCCGCCUGGGGAGUACGGUCGCAAGGCUAAAACUCAAAGGAAUUGACGGGGGCUCACACAAGCGGUGGAGCAUGUUGCUUAAUUCGAGACAACGCGAAGAACCUUACCUGGGUUUGACAUGCAUGGAUUAACCUUUGGAAACUUAGGCCACGCCCUUUGGGUGGAACAUGCACAGGUGCUGCAUGGCUGUCGUCAGCUCGUGCCG
rnacentral:rRNA from 1 species